GACGAACGCUGGCGGCGUGCCUAAUACAUGCAAGUUGAGCGCUGAAGGUUGGUACUUGUACCGACUGGAUGAGCAGCGAACGGGUGAGUAACGCGUGGGGAAUCUGCCUUUGAGCGGGGGACAACAUUUGGAAACGAAUGCUAAUACCGCAUAAAAACUUUAAACACAAGUUUUAAGUUUGAAAGAUGCAAUUGCAUCACUCAAAGAUGAUCCCGCGUUGUAUUAGCUAGUUGGUGAGGUAAAGGCUCACCAAGGCGAUGAUACAUAGCCGACCUGAGAGGGUGAUCGGCCACAUUGGGACUGAGACACGGCCCAAACUCCUACGGGAGGCAGCAGUAGGGAAUCUUCGGCAAUGGACGAAAGUCUGACUGAGCAACGCCGCGUGAGUGAAGAAGGGUUUCGGAUCGUAAAACUCUGUUGGUAGAGAAGAACGUUGGUGAGAGUGGAAAGCUCAUCAAGUGACGGUAACUACCCAGAAAGGGACGGCUAACUACGUG
rnacentral:rRNA from 1 species